AACGAACGCUGGCGGCAUGCCUAACACAUGCAAGUCGAACGAGACCUUCGGGUCUAGUGGCGCACGGGUGCGUAACGCGUGGGAACCUGCCCUUAGGUUCGGAAUCACUCCCCGAAAGGGGUGCUAAUACCGGAUCAUGUCUUCGUACCAACGAUUUAUCGCCUUUGGAUGGGCCCGCGUUGGAUUAGCUAGUUGGUAGGGUAAAAGCCUACCAAGGCGACGAUCCAUAGCUGGUCUGAGAGGAUGAUCAGCCACACUGGGACUGAGACACGGCCCAGACUCCGACGGGAGGCAGCAGUGGGGAAUAUUGGACAAUGGGGGAAAGCCUGAUCAAGCAAUGCCGCGUGAGUGAGGAAGGCCGUAGGGUUGUAAAGCUAUUUGACAAGGGAUGAUAAUGACAGUACCGGGAGAAUAAGCACCGGCUAACUCCGUG
rnacentral:rRNA from 1 species